rnacentral:rRNA from 1 species
AUUGAACGCUGGCGGCAGGCCUAACACAUGCAAGUCGAGCGGAUGAAGGGAGCUUGCUCCUGGAUUCAGCGGCGGACGGGUGAGUAAUGCCUAGGAAUCUGCCUGGUAGUGGGGGAUAACGUCCGGAAACGGGCGCUAAUACCGCAUACGUCCUGAGGGAGAAAGUGGGGGAUAUUCGGACCUCACGCUAUCAGAUGAGCCUAGGUCGGAUUAGCUAGUUGGUGGGGUAAAGGCCUACCAAGGCGACGAUCCGUAACUGGUCUGAGAGGAUGAUCAGUCACACUGGAACUGAGACACGGUCCAGACUCCUACGGGAGGCAGCAGUGGGGAAUAUUGGACAAAGGGCGAAAGCCUGAUCCAGCCAUGCCGCGUGUGUGAAGAAGGUCUUCGGAUUGUAAAGCACUUUAAGUUGGGAGGAAGGGCAGUAAGUUAAUACCUUGCUGUUUUGACGUUACCAACAGAAUAAGCACCGGCUAACUUCGUG